GUUUCUUUCGUCUAGUGGUGAGGACAUCGCCCUUUCACGGCGGCAACACGGGUUCAAUUCCCGUAAGAAACG
rnacentral:tRNA from 1 species